rnacentral:lncRNA from 1 species
CCCCCCCCCCCCCCCCACCCCGGAUGCCCCCCCCGCGCCCCGCGGUGACGGGUAUUCUUGGGUGGAUAAUACGGAUUACGUUGUUAUUGCUUAAGAAUACGCGUAGUCGAGGGGACGCCCCGAGCCGGCCUCCUCGUGCAUCCUUUUCUCGUGCAUCCCCCUCGUGCAUCCCCCUCGUGCACGAGGCCGUGCGUCCUCGUGAGCUCGCGGGGGGGUCCGUGUGAAGCUUCGGGUGCCCUCGGCUGUCACUCAGCAUCCGGCCCUGCGUGUGCUCUGCGCCCUCGUGCAUCCUCGUGCAUCCUCGUGCAGCUAUCCCUGAGCUUGCCCUUGCAACGUCGUGCAUCCUCUUGCAACGUCGUGCAUCCUCGUGCAUCUUUGUGCAUCCUCGUGCAUCUAUCCCAAAACACGCCCUUGUUACCUUGUGCAUCCUCGUGCAUCUAUCCCAAAACACGCCCUUGUUACCUCGUGCAUCCUCGUGCAACCCCGUGCAUCCAUCCUUGAGCAAUGCCCUUGCAACGUCGUGCACCCUCGUGCAUCUAUCCCAAAACACACCCUUGUUACCUUGUGCAUCCUCGUGCAUCCUUGUGCAUCGAUCUGUAAGCAUGCCCUUGCAACCUCGUGCUUCCUCGUGCAUCCUCGUGCAUCCAUCCCUGAGCAAUGCCCUUUCAACCUCGUGCAUCCUCAUGCACCCGCGUGCGUUCACCCCUGAGCACGCCAUUGCAACCCCAUGCAACCCCCGUUGCAUCCCAUUGCAUCCCAUUGCAACCCAUUGCAACCCAUUGCAUCCCAUUGCAUCCCAUUGCAUCCCAUUGCAACCCAUUGCAUCCCAUUGCAUCCCAUUGCAUCCCAUUGCAACCCAUUGCAUCCCAUUGCAUCCCAUUGCAAACCCAUUGGCAACCCAUUGCAUCCCCAUUUGCAAUCCCCAUUGCAUUUCCCAUGUGGAACCAUUGCAUCCC